CUGCUCCCACCCCACCAACCAUCCCAUGCCAUGUCUCAAAAAAAACACUCAGCGCCCGAUCCAGAUCCCCAAUCCCGUCUCCGCUCCCACCUCCUCUCCUCAAUGCCCCGCCACAGGACGUGGAAGCGGUGCGUCCACUCCAGCCACCACGACAGCGCCACCGCCGCCGACUUCGCGCCCGUGCCCAGGAUGUGCCGCCUCGUCAUGGCGAACUACGCCCCACCUGACCUCCUCACCGCGGCGCCCCUCCUCCUCGACCCCUCAAACGUCGUGCGCCGCCGCACCUACGCCGACACGGGGGGUCGGGUCACACCCUACCUCGUCUACCUCGACCACGCGCACGCUCCUCGACAACCGCCUCGGCAAGCGCCGCUUCGACGGCGGCUACGUCCACAACGGCCUCCUCCGCGCGCGCCGGCUGGGUGCUCGACAGGGAGUGCGACCUGCUCCGGGACCUCCUCGACCGGUACCCCGCCUACACGCUCACCUUCACGGGCCACUCCCUUGGCGUCGGCAUCGCCCCCAUGCUCACCAUGGUCGUCGUGCUCAACCUCGACAAGCUCGGCAAGGCCGAGAGGGGCCGCACCAGGUGCUAUGCCAAGGCCCCCGCCCGCUGUAUGUCGCUCAACCUCGCCGUCAGAUACGCCGAUGUCAUCAACUCCGUCGUGCUGCAGAAAUCGUCGAUUCAUAAAUGUGAGAAGAAGAUGAUUGCAAGGAUGGAGAGGGAGCAAAUCAUUUGGAGGGAUAGAAUGCCACUGUUUGGUGUUUUUAUGCAUUUUUGUUUGCUUUCAACUGUGUUUGCACUAGCUGGGAAUAAGUGACUAGGCAAUAAGUGUAGAUGUAUGGAUAUGCUCUAAUGCUCCUGGUUUACUAUAAAUCUUCGAUUUGGAAUGAUGUGUAAUGCUGCUGGUUUAUUACAAACUUGGGCUUGUUUUAGUUGUUAGAAUUGUAUGCAUAAAAUGGAAUUGAUGGAUUUUAAAAUAUAAGCUAACCGCAUGUUCUACCG
rnacentral:rRNA from 1 species